rnacentral:tRNA from 1 species
GGGCACUUAGAUCAGCGGUUAGAUCGCCUGCUUCACACGCAGGAGGUCACUGGUUCGAAUCCAGUAGUGCCCACCA